GGGAGGACAUCAUCGCCAGUGCUACCAACGCUGCGACAGUUUCGUUGCCAACCACUCGCUGGUUCUCUCAGUCUCAACUUCUGCGGUGACCUCUCUGUCUAGAUUGUGAGGCGACGUCUCCUUCUCCGUGACAAGGUCAGCGGACUGUGACCGGGCCACGAUAGUGGUGCGAACCUGGUCCCAAUAAAGAUCAAGCCAAACUAUGGAGACAGUAGAAAGAUCAGUGUUUGCCAGGAUUCAGGUGGAAGAGCGAUGAAUAGCCAGAGCAUGGAAUUUUAGG
rnacentral:lncRNA from 1 species